CCUACGAGUGGCAGCAGUGAGGAAUAUUGGUCAAUGUCCGGAAGGCUGAACCAGCCAUGCCGCGUGACGGUCAGUGCCCUAUGGGCGUUAAACUUCUUUUGUGCGGGAGCAAUAAUGGUCACGUGUGGCCAGCCGAGAGUACCGUACGAAUAAGCAUCGGCUAACUUCGUGCAAGCAGCCGCGGUAAUACGGGGGAUGCAAGCGUUCUCCGGAUUUAUUGGGUUUACAGGGUGCGUAGGCUGUGAGGGAAGUCAGCGGUGAAAUCCCCGCGCUCAACGUGGGAACUGCCUUUGAAACUGGCAAACUGGAGGGUGUGAGAGGAGAGUGGAAUUCCAGGUGUAGGAGUGAAAUCCGGAGAUAUCUGGAGGAACAUCAGUGGCGAACGCGACUAUCUGGAACAUAACGGACGCUGAGGAGCGAAAGCGUGGGUAGCAAACAGGAUUAGAUACCCGGGUAGUC
rnacentral:rRNA from 1 species